rnacentral:tRNA from 1 species
GUAGGUAUAGCUCAGUGGUAGAGCAUAUGCUUAGCAUGCACAAGGUUGGGGGUUCAAUCCCCAGUACCUCCA